UUGCUCCAAGGAACACUAUGUGUCUGGAUGGAAUAAGAUUGCUUUUGUCUCUGUUUGUGAGCCACCCAAAUUCUUGUAGCGUUAAGAUCACCUCUUCUGUCUGAUGGACUGCUGUGUGGUAUUCCUGUGCUACUACCAGGAUAUCAUCCAAGUAGUGGAAUACUUAGAUUCCUCUUUUUCUCAGGAUUGCAAUGACUGUUACGAGAAACUUCGAG